AAAGGAUUCUGCUGUCGGUCCCACUCCAAAGUUCACAGAAUGGGUGGUGGCACAGAAUCCGGACU